UCGAAGACUUCACAGAGUGUUGCCUGUUGCUGAUCCACAAAAGGAUCUGUCCAAAAAUAUAUUCUCUUCUGUUCUUUUCUGAUGUGUUAAAAUUGUAUCAAGCUGAGUCUCAAACAUCCUGACAAUCUUGGCUAACCAAAAAAAGGAGGGGAUGAAGAUAACUCAUCGACUGCAACGUCACCGACAGCACAAUGAUAGCACUUGUCCAAGGCUAUAUGAAAAUCAGACAUAUGGAGGGAAAAGGAGGUCUCAAAUGCUGUUUCAGAUGGUGUGAGAUUCCUGUGUGGCUAUUUCCCCCAUUGCCCAUUGCAUCAACAGCCUGCUUUCACAUCUUCCUCCUUCUGUUAUUAUGUUAUGAUCUACAAUCACAAAGCUCCUAUGGACUUCUACCUGCCCUGAGAGGGCCUUGGAUUCUGUCUGGAUGCGGUCAGAAGUUCUCAUGCACAAUGAAUGAAUGUAGAGCUGUGCUGUCCCCCUUUGGAGCUAAAGUUGAUCAGAUUGACAUGGGGUUUUUCCAACACUUGUUCUAUACUUUGUAUAGGCCUAAAACUGUCACAGUUUUUCUUUAUUUUACCAUUUCAAACAUUUGUUUAUCUCUUAUGAACUUAAUACACAUAUAAUUCAGUGCAUUAAAGGAAAAAGAAACAAAAACAUUUGAAAAUGUUCAGCUCCUGAAGUAGGAAUCAGCUUGCUGUUGAGUCAUGCCUCAUACUUCAGUUUUGCUAUCAGUCAACUACUGGUGAAUAUUUAGUAUUUUGUUAACUGUAGCCAGAUAAGCGUGGACACUUCAGAGUAGCAAUGGUAGCAAAACCAGUGGAAAGAAGGGAAUUUUAUAUAAGGCCUUCAAAUGUUUGCUUCGAGGGGCAUUUCCAAAUAUCACGUUCAUAUGGGAUGGCCAUCUUCAUCUUACAAGGCAGUCUUGGAUGUCCUUACUCUCUCUAAUACUGCCUGGUAACGAUGAGGAUAACCUUCCACCAGCAUCAUAUCUUCAGUAUCCUUAAGGAAAGCAUAUUUACAUCUAACUCUGAGCCAAACUAAACUUCUUCAGAUCAAGGGAAUUUGAAUGUAUGAUGCCAUUGUCGUCAUAACACGGUGUAGAACAAUUUAUUCAUUAUUCAAGCAUUAUUCUAACCAAAUAAGAACAAAACAUAUUUAAUGGGCUAAAUAAAAUAAUUGCUUACUUUUAGAAAGUUGUUCAUAUGUGUGUCAAGUAAGUUUCAAGGUUCAACCGAAAGGUCAAGGUGAUGUAUUUUAAGUUCUGCCUACAUGUUUACUGCUUCUACUGCUUGGACAGUUGAUUUUGAACUUAGUGAUGCUUAAUUAAAACAGUAGCUCUCAGAGCACAUCUUACCUGACAGUGUUUGGCUGUUCCCAGGUGAUCUAACACUGUCUGGUAAUGAUGUUCUCAGGGUGUCUAUGACAACAUAAACCCUAGAAAUGAAUGGCAUUCUUUUCUACUAUUCACUUAAGGCAACAGUAAACAUGCUCUGACUUCAAGGUCAAAUGCCAACAAGAUUGUUGUUCUACACUGGACUAAAGAAAAGACUAGAAGAUGCAGGAUAAAUACGAAAAGCAGAAAACAAUAUCUGAUCAAUCCCCAGCCCUUUGUUUGCCACCCUUUUGUGUUUCGAUUCAGCACUGCCACUCCUCCCAUUCCGUUCUGAAAUACUGGUUUGGUGACUUGUCACCUACUCAAACUCAUUCUCAUCCCUACUCAUUUGCGCACCCAACCCCCAUAGAUUAUGCUUGCUUGUUCUGACUGGGUGAGGAGCUCAGCACCUGAGUGGCACAAUUGUGAGGCUAAACAAAUACAAGUGAUUUCAUUGUUUUCGGUGUAUGGACUGUAUACUACAUUUUCUGAUAGGUUAUUUUCUUUCUCUCUGAGUGUCUGUAAGCAGAACUCUGGAAAGUGCAACAUAAAUGCAUCCCAGUCAAGACACAGUUGGUUUCUAUGCUUAAUGUCUACAAAUAAAUACUUGAUGUUUUAAUCUGUCGUGAUAAAAUUAUGAAAACUGCUCAACUUCAAAAUAAAUGUAUAAAACAGUU